GUUUUGUCCUUGCUUGUAAAGGUUACUAUUCAGUUCAAAUAGUAUCAUUAGCUACAGCUCAAUAAAGUUGGCGCACAUUUGUGUCAUACGGAUAAUUUGAUUGUCUCCUACUCUGUUUGAGAGAUAUUUGAUUAUUAAAUAUAAACUAACUAGGUCAUUUGGUACAAAUAUGCAAACGGUUGUUUAAGAAUGUUUACUGCU
rnacentral:lncRNA from 1 species